rnacentral:rRNA from 1 species
UCCGUAGGCGGGCUUGUAAGUCAGUGGUGAAAUCCGGCAGCUUAACUGUCGAACUGCCAUUGAUACUGUGAGCCUUGAAUUACUAUGAAGUGGUUAGAAUAUGUAGUGUAGCGGUGAAAUGCUUAGAUAUUACAUGGAAUACCAAUUGCGAAGGCAGAUCACUAAUAGUACAUUGACGCUGAGGGAGAAAGCGUGGGUAGCGAACA